CAUUAAAACUAUAUCCAUGCCUCUUUAAGUUCUUUAAAAACUUAAUAGAAAAUUGGGUGAAUUGCAAGAAAGUCUUAAUUCAAUCUUAAUUUAAUUUAACCCCUUUCUUUUUUAAGUUGAAAAAAGAUAAUUUGCAGCGAAGUUUAUAUCGGUAUAAUUAAAAUUAUUUAAUUUGGUAUAAAAACGUUCAACGACUAACAGGUGAGUAAUACCAAUCAAUAACCCUGUACUGUUAACUAUUUAACAGAAGCGCCCAAUCAGUUUGUUAUCAUGCAAUUGCUGUCAUUUCAAAUUGAAAGACAUAGUCUGAACUUAACUGUGAAGUUAAG
rnacentral:ncRNA from 1 species